UUUUGUUAUUUUGCCUUUCUUGUUUUUGGAGGUUAUCCUGGGUGGAGAUUAACUCUCUGUAGGGGGUACGCUUCCGGACCUUCAGUUUGACUGAUUGUCGCGGAGCUCAGCGUUUAAUGCCGCCCCGAGCCUGGUCCAUCUCUGAAGACCAGAUUCGUUGCCGAAUCUUUAUUUUAGGAGGGAGGUGUUACGACCCUGCGUUCUACAUGCACGCCUGCUGGUGGCGGUGUUCAUCCAGGAGAGCUUGGAAGAUCGCACACCCCUGUUACCUGAUCACCACUUAAUUAUGGAGAGUAUAAAACAUUGGACUCAACCACUCCUCUUCACUUCGUCCAGGGGAUCGACACCCUCUGGAGAAUCCAUACCAAUCUUUUCUCCUCCCCAUCUGGAUUAUGAUUUUCCCCUAUUGAUUUUGAUCCCUAGACUUCGUUAUAUUAAGUUAUUUGUGUUUUUGAAGACUAAUAAAAUCUUGCAAGUCAUUUCUUCAGUGUACUUGUAUACUUUAUGUACGGUCGAAACGAGCUGGCC